UACGAAUAGUGUAAUGGUUAUUACGUUUGCUUAACAAGUAAAAGGUCUCUGGUUCGAAUCAAUGUUUGGUAA